UCGACAAGGAGAUAGGCUUAGAAGCAGCCAUAAUUUUAUGACCUCGUAACAGAGCGCUUGUUAAAUUAUAAAAGCGUCGAAAAUAUAACGGAUCUAAACAAUAUACCGAAACCUUGUCCAUAAUAUAUUAUAAUAAAUAUGUUUAUUGUAAUUUAAUGGGGUAGCAGAACGUUGAGCUAAAGUAUGAGUUUUAUUUUUUAAAUAGAAUUAUAGUAUUUAACUCAAGUGAGAAUGGUGACAUGAGUAACUAAAAGAAAAUUUUCCGCCUUAAGCUUAUGGAUGUAAUUAAGUAACGGCCUCUAAGUUUAUAUAAUCUAAAGAUUUAAACGAUGAGAAAAUCUUUAUUACUAAAAACAACAUUUUGGUGCAAAAUGUGCUGGAAAAAUAGUAAUAUGUUUGUUAUUUAAUAACAAAUAAAAUAACCGUACCUAGAAUCUGAAACAAGUAAGCUAGUAGAGAAUACGAAGGCGUAAAUGAGCUAACAAUCAUAAAGGAACUCGGCAAAUUGACUACCGUAACUUCGGAAUAAGGAGGGCUCAUUAUUCUUGAUGAAUAUCAAGCAAAGAGGAAGAAGCAUGAAAUAAUGUUGUACGACUGUUUAAUUAAAACACAGCACUUUGCUGAAAGAUUAAAAAUCUAAGUAUAAAGUGUGAUAUCUGCCCGGUGCCGGCUGGUUAACAGAUAUAAUUGAAUAUACUAAUAUUUGAUGUAGACGGAAACCCCGGUUAAAGGCGGCCUUAACGUGAGGGUCCUAAGGUAGCGAAAUGCCUUGGCCGUUAAAUGCGGUCUUGCAUGAAUGGUGUAACGAUACAACAGCUGUCUCUAUGAUUGACUCAGUGAAAUUG
rnacentral:ncRNA from 1 species